ACGGAGAACCGCAGAGUACCGGGACUUCGACCGUCUCCACGACUAAAAAUAAAAGCAGUCUGCGCUCAUGGUGGAGGAGAAACGUCUGUGGGCCUAUAAGGAAGAGGCUGGGAAACGCAGUAGACUCCUUCUUGGAACAUUUCAACAAACGGAGUGAACUGCGCCAUAAAAAUCGCAGGCGACGGAGACAGAUGGAGAAGGUUUUGCAGGCAUCAGUUAAAAUGAAUUCCAAACGUUAGUAGAAUUAGUUUAUGUUAUGAAGUUAGAAGCAUAAUGUCAUACAAUCAUACUUAUGUCGUGUUUUCACCGUGAUACAUGUGCACGACAAUUGAAAUAACGGCUGAAGACAAUCUCAAGCAUUUAUGAUAUUGCGGAGACGUUGAGUACAAAAUGGAUAAAGUUUUGACGUUCAAUGUUUUUGUAUUAGAACUUAAAAUCUAAUAUGUACUUGUGCAAGAGGGUAGAAUAACACGUGUAUAUCAAAUGACGCCCCCACUAUGGUACGACUACAGUAGAGUGUGUUAUCGAGCAGAUACUAUGUUUAUUUGCUUGUCUUUACUGCAUAAUUACCAUUAUUACUGUAGAAUUACGUCACUGUUUAAUUAUAUAUUGAUGACAGUAUAUUAUCAAGGCAUGUGCCCCAUAUGGAGAAAAAAAUAAACAUCGGAAAUUGCAGGAAGGGAAUUUGUAAAAGUAUUGUCCAUGUUUUUUUAACCGACGAAACAGUAAUUUUCAUAGAAACCAUUGUGUGCAUGCACGCAGUUAACCCUGGAAAAUACGUGUGUUGUUGUAUACUGUAAAUAGGUAAUGGCUAAAUCUGUGGUUCACAUUUGAAUGAUGCAUAGUAAAACAGUGUUAUACAUUCUAAAGACGGGUACAAUAUGAAUGAAUAAAAUAUAGAAAUUUAUACAGAGUAUUCUGUAAAAAAA